rnacentral:tRNA from 1 species
GCCUCGGUGGCUCAGCCUGGUAGAGCGCGUGAUUCGUAAUCUCGAUGUCGAGGGUUCAAAUCCCUCUCGAGGCU